rfam:Salmo salar isolate Sally breed double haploid chromosome ssa22, whole genome shotgun sequence.
AAUGCACCAAUUUGUAAGUCGCUCUGGAUAAGAGCGUCUGCUAAAUGACGUAAG